UAAUUACACCCACGAUACGUUUCACUCUCUCUCCAUCACGUAUUCAUUCCAGUCUCCCCAUAUUCUCUCAAAUUUCAAUCACAACCCGCCGCCACAUCUGAGAAGCAAAAACCUAGUUUUCACGCUUGAAUCUGAAGACUCGCCGGCGCUGACAACUCUGUUUUUAAUCGAACCCGUUGUCUACAUUAUUUGGCUUUGUUGUGUUGAUUUAAUCAUCUAGCGCGUUCUUCUGGGUAGGUUUCACGCGUGACGAGAACAAGGAAGUACCUAGCUGAUGCACUCGUGAAGUUCAGAAGACCCAAGCUAGCAUGGCUAAUUCGUAAAUGUUCAACCUAUCUACUCUCUAUGCCAUGGAGAGGCCAUUUCAGCAAGGUUGACAGUGGUGUGUACUUGAUGGGCCAUAUGAAAACCUUUUUCAGAGAAAAAGACAAAGAAUGGGAAUGUGGGUUCACGGCAUGGAGCACUAAAAGCGUGGAAAUGUCAAGGAUUAAGUUCAACACGACCUUACUCCCAUUUGAGCAAAAUAUCAGAGGAAAGGUGAAUCAAAUUGCAACAACUAAGCACAGGAAAGAGAAGCCGUCAAAGUUCACUUUCGAAAAGUAUGUUCAAAUUUAUGGUUUGGAAUGAAUGAUGUGCCUGUCAGAAUUGAUUUGUGAGAGACAUAGAUUGUUUUGCUGUUUUUUUUGUGGAAACUAGAUUAGAACUGGUUAUACUUUUUGCACCUAUGUGUUUUCGGAACUAUGUUAAGCACUACUCUAUUACAUUAUUGCAGAAGUGUGGCUA